UAAUUGCAGAGGGUGCUUUGGCGAUGGCUGUGGUCUAAGUUCCUUGGAACAGGACGUCACAGAGGGUGAGAAUCCCGUACGUGGCCGCCAGCCUCCGCCGUGUAAAGCCCCUUCGACGAGUCGAGUUGUUUGGGAAUGCAGCUCUAAAUGGGAGGUAAAUUCCUUCUAAAGCUAAAUACUGGCCAGAGACCGAUAGCGCACAAGUAGAGUGAUCGAAAGAUGAAAAGCACUUUGGAAAGAGAGUCAAAAAGCACGUGAAAUUGUUGAAAGGGAAGCGCUUGCAGCCAGACAUGCCUGUAGUUGCUCACCGGGGCUCUUGCCCUGGGCACUCUUCUACGGGCAGGCCAGCAUCAGUCCGGGCGGUUGGAUAAAUGCCUGCUACAUGUACCUCUCUUCGGGGAGGACUUAUAGGGUAGGCGACAUACAGCCAGCCUGGACUGAGGUCCGCGCAUCUGCUAGGAUGCUGGCGUAAUGGCUGUAAGCGGCCCGUCUUGAAACACGGACCAAGGAGUCUAACAUCUAUGCGAGUGUUUGGGUGUAAAGCCCGAGCGCGGAAUGAAAGUGAACGGAGGUGGGAACCCCUCGGGGUGCACCAUCGACCGAUCCUGAUGUCUUCGGAUGGAUUUGAGUAUGAGCAUAGCUGUUGGGACCCGAAAGAUGGUGAACUAUGCCUGAAUAGGGUGAAGCCAGAGGAAACUCUGGUGGAGGCUCGCAGCGGUUCUGACGUGCAAAUCGAUCGUCAAAUUUGGGCAUAGGGGCGAAAGACUAAUCGAACCAUCUAGUAGCUGGUCUGCG
rnacentral:rRNA from 1 species